GAUACAGGGUGAUAGUCCCGUAGUUGACGACGUGUGUUCAGUGAAAUCGAGUAGGGCGGGACACGUGAUAUCCUGUCUGAAUAUGGGGGGACCAUCCUCCAAGGCUAAAUACUACUGACUGACCGAUAGUGAACCAGUACCGUGAGGGAAAGGCGAAAAGAACCCCUGUGAGGGGAGUGAAAUAGAACCUGAAACCGUGUACGUACAAGCAGUAGGAGCAGGCUUUGUCCUGUGACUGCGUACCUUUUGUAUAAUGGGUCAGCGACUUAUAUUCAGUGGCAAGGUUAACCAUCUAGGGGAGCCGUAGGGAAACCGAGUCUUAACUGGGCGUUCAGUCUCUGGAUAUAGACCCGAAACCAGGUGAUCUAGCCAUGGGCAGGUUGAAGGUUGAGUAACAUCAACUGGAGGACCGAACCGACUAAUGUUGAAAAAUUAGCGGAUGACUUGUGGCUAGGGGUGAAAGGCCAAUCAAACCUGGAGAUAGCUGGUUCUCCCCGAAAGCUAUUUAGGUAGCGCCUCGGACGAAUACUACUGGGGGUAGAGCACUGUUAAGGCUAGGGGGUCAUCCCGACUUACCAACCCUUUGCAAACUCCGAAUACCAGUAAGUACUAUCCGGGAGACACACGGCGGGUGCUAACGUCCGUCGUGGAGAGGGAAACAACCCAGACCGCCAGCUAAGGUCCCAAAUUACUACUAAGUGGGAAACGAUGUGGGAAGGCUCAGACAGCCAGGAUGUUGGCUUAGAAGCAGCCAUCAUUUAAAGAAAGCGUAAUAGCUCACUGGUCGAGUCGGCCUGCGCGGAAGAUGUAACGGGGCUAAGUAGUAAACCGAAGCUGCGGCAAUAUACUUUUGUAUAUUGGGUAGGGGAGCGUUCUGUAAGCGGUUGAAGGUGUGUGGUAACGCAUGCUGGACGUAUCAGAAGUGCGAAUGCUGACAUGAGUAACGAUAAAGGGGGUGAAAAACCUCCUCGCCGGAAGACCAAGGGUUCCUGUCCAACGUUAAUCGGGGCAGGGUAAGUCGACCCCUAAGGCGAGGCCGAAAGGCGUAGUCGAUGGGAAACGGGUUAAUAUUCCCGUACUUCUUACAAUUGCGAUGGGGGGACGGAGAAGGCUAGGUGGGCCUGGCGACGGUUGUCCAGGUUCAAGUGCGUAGGCUUAAGAGUUAGGUAAAUCCGGCUCUUUUUAAGGCUGAGACACGACGUCGAGCACCUACGGGUGUGAAGUCAUUGAUGCCAUGCUUCCAGGAAAAGCCUCUAAGCUUCAGAUUGUAAGGAAUCGUACCCCAAACCGACACAGGUGGUCGGGUAGAGAAUACCAAGGCGCUUGAGAGAACUCGGGUGAAGGAACUAGGCAAAAUGGUACCGUAA
rnacentral:rRNA from 1 species